rnacentral:lncRNA from 7 species
GGAGUGUGCAGAGAUUUGUGGGAGGCAUCUAAAGGGCUGAGCAUGGGUAGGGUACAUGCAAAGAUAGGUUGUGUGUAUGGAAAGGAUGCAUACACAGAGGCGCGUUCCUGAUUGAUCUGGAAGCAGCAGCUCAGUGCGAGGGAAGGAGUCUAUACACACCGCAACAGCUCUUUAAUUUCUUAAUUUAAUAUCUGACACGUAAAGAUUCUCAUUAAGCCAGUCAAUGAAGCCUGGAAAUACAAUUUUCGUGCAAACUGUCGCUAUCAUAACUUACACGAAACUUCAGCUGGUGCCCUGUGAGCGGCGUGAUUAAAACCAUUCAUCUUCCCUGUCAGCCUCCCGUCACCGCACCACCCGUGCCACCGCCGCUGGGUGCUGGGUGUGGGGUGCACAGUACCCACACUUGGGGGGCACAGGCAGCCGUGGCAUCACCCAGUAGGAUGGAGGUGGUUGAGAGAGCUGCCCAAAGUGUGCUCGUUAGGGAAAUGAAUCCCUCUCGGGUCUCUGUGCUGUAGUACAAAUAAAAGGCGUUGGACU